rnacentral:rRNA from 1 species
AUUGAACGCUGGCGGCAUGCCUUACACAUGCAAGUCGAACGGCAGCACGGGGCAACCUGGUGGCGAGUGGCGAACGGGUGAGUAAUGCAUCGGAACGUACCUUUCAGUGGGGGAUAACGUAGCGAAAGUUACGCUAAUACCGCAUAUUCUGUGAGCAGGAAAGCAGGGGAUCGCAAGACCUUGCGCUGAUUGAGCGGCCGAUGUCAGGUUAGCUAGUUGGUGAGGUAAAGGCUCACCAAGGCGACGAUCUGUAGCGGGUCUGAGAGGAUGAUCCGCCACACUGGAACUGAGACACGGUCCAGACGCCUACGGGAGGCAGCAGUGGGGAAUUUUGGACAAUGGGGGCAACCCUGAUCCAGCCAUGCCGCGUGAGUGAAGAAGGCCUGCGGGUUGUAAAGCUCUUUCGGCCGGGAAGAAAUCGCACGGGCUAAUACCCUGUGUGGAUGACGGUACCGGAAUAAGAAGCACCGGCUAACUACGUGCCAGCCGCCGCGGUAACAC